rnacentral:lncRNA from 1 species
CACAAUAAAGGCAAUGACAGAAAUAUGAAGAGCUGCUAUACCUAACCCAGCCUGAUACAUAGGAGCUAGCAAAGCAAGGAUGGAAACACUUUGGUUCAACCCAUGUUUGAGAGAACACCAACAGGGGAGCCGAUUUCCUCUGGAGAAGAGGCACUGUGUGUAGCCAGGGAGUCUAAAGAAGCAGCUGCGCAUAAGUUCAGAUGUGCCAUGGAGGGAGAACGUGUGCCGGAAAGAGCCUUACAGAGGAUACCACCCAUUGCAUGGCAUUAUGGUCACUUGUCAGGGCAGAGACCCUACUUCCCAGGGGUUUGAAGAGGUAUGUAUGUAAAGUAUUGACCACAGUGACUGGCAUGUAAUUCUCGCAAACCAGUACCUGUACACACUGAUGCUGAAUUUCAUGUUUAUGAUGUUUAUAUUCUUAAGGUUUGGCAUUUAGGAGGCAUUCAAGAUGUGUUUGUCACACUUUUUUUGGUGGGGUGUCUGUGGUGAUCAUUUAUGGAGUCUAUUCCUGUACCGCCUAAGUGGUUUGACAUUCUUGUGCCUACAAAGUAAAAAAUAAUGGAAAAAAUUCUAUUUUGUCUGAAACUCCAGGAAAUGUUGUGGUUAAAUCUAGAGGGAUGGUUUCCCAUCAUUCACAACUGAAGGCAAACACAGAGGAAAUUCUCACAGCGUUCCCUAAGUCACCCAGUGUCCCAAACAUCCAGAUGCAUUCAUUCUCGGCAAAGUGGAAGUUGAAAAGUUGUUUUGGAUUCCAAUGAACAUUGUUCUUUCAUAUCCAUUCAUAUUAUGUUAAGCCAUUUCAACCUCCCAUUUUGUCAUAGGUCAAAGAUUGGCAUCAUAGUAAUGGAGGUGACUUUCACAAACAUUUACUGCAUUGAAAUAAAUGAAGAAACUGAUUGUCUAAUACA